AUGCUCUCGCGUGUUCUUGGGGCCAUCUUGUUGGGGGUCUGCGACUCUGGGAGGAAGCGAGCGGUCGGUCGGUUUGGGCCACCGUCUUGUUUGCGAACUAACAAGUCCGUUUGUUUGAGAAACUUCUGUUCCUGCGUUUCAUGUUCACGGUGGAGCGAUGGUUCAUGUGUUUACUUGUGCGUGCGCUUCUGUUAUCUGACGAUCCUGCGUUUCGUGUUCGCGUCGGGGAGAUGGUUGCAGGAACGAUCGGUUCUGGUUUCGAAAUUGGAGCGCUGUCAAGUCGGUUUCUCUGUUCCAUCACCUGUGUUGUUCGUCCGUUAUUUCCAGAUCUCGAACGCAUGA
rnacentral:rRNA from 1 species